GCCUCUCGGAGUUGGAAUAAACGCUUUGAUAGUGUGAUCAAAGCAUUUGGUUUUAUACAGACUUUCGGAGAAGCCUGUAUUUACAAGAAAGUGAGUGGGAGCUCUGUAGUAUUUCUGAUAUUAUAUGUGGAUGACAUAUUACUAAUUGGAAAUGAUAUAGAAUUUCUGGAUAGCAUAAAGGGAUACUUGAAUAAGAGUUUUUCAAUGAAAGACCUCGGUGAAGCUGCUUACAUAUUAGGCAUUAAGAUCUAUAGAGAUAGAUCAAGACGCUUAAUUAGACUUUCACAAAGCACAUACCUUGACAAAGUUUUGAAGAAGUUCAAAAUGGAUCAAGCAAAGAAAGGAUUCUUGCCUGUGUUACAAGGUGUGAAGUUGAGUAAGACUCAAUGCCCGACCACUGUAGAAGAUAGAGAGAAAAUGAAAGAUGUUCCCUAUGCUUCAGCCAUAGGCUCUAUCAUGUAUGCAAUGCUGUAUACCAGACCUGAUGUGUGCCUUGCUAUAAGUUUAGCAGGGAGGUACCAAAGUAAUCCAGGAGUGGAUCACUGGACAGCGGUCAAGAACAUCCUGAAAUACCUGAAAAGGACUAAGGAUAUGUUUCUCGUAUAUGGAGGUGACAAAGAGCUCACCGUAAAAGGUUACGUUGAUGCAAGCUUUGACACUGAUCCGGACGAUUCUAAAUCGCAAACUGGAUACGUGUUUACAUUAAACGGUGGAGCUGUCAGUUGGUGCAGUUCUAAACAAAGCGUC
rnacentral:rRNA from 1 species